rnacentral:rRNA from 1 species
UAUGGAGGAUCCAAGCGUUAUCCGGAAUCAUUGGGUUUAAAGGGUCCGUAGGCGGUUUUGUAAGUCAGUGGUGAAAGCCCAUCGCUCAACGGUGGAACGGCCGUUGAUACUGCAAGACUUGAAUUAUUAGGAAGUAACUAGAAUAUGUAGUGUAGCGGUGAAAUGCUUAGAUAUUACAUGGAAUACCAAUUGCGAAGGCAGGUUACUACUAAUAUAUUGACGCUGAUGGACGAAAGCGUGGGGAGCGAACAGG